rnacentral:misc_RNA from 1 species
UCGAAAUAAACCUGAACAGGCUGUUGCUAGUUCUCCUGGGACAUGUGCACGUCUGUCGUCUUUAUUUUCUCCAACUGUGCACGUAUUGUAGACCUGGUGCUUUGUUGAACGGCUUUGCCUUUUGAAUAUCCAGGUCUAUGUCUUUUUACAUUUUUACAAAUGUGUAUUGGAAUGUUGAGUACUGGGGAUAACAAAUAUA